UUUGUUUUUCAUCAGACAGAGGUUGUACUCUUGGAGGGACAAGCGAGGCUGUGUUUGUCUUUUACCCUGGAGACAGUGGAGUGUUUGUGGCCUAGCAGGGCCGUGCGGGCCUCUCGGUCCUGGUCGCGCGUGGUGUGCGUUUUGGGAGGGCCCAGCGAGUCGGCUGCUAUGGGCCCCACCUGGCACGGGGCCUCGGGCAGCGGCAGCACCUGGCGCUGCCUCCGCGCUUCCUGCUCCCGGCUCCCACUGCAUCUCCGGUUCUGUGCUUUGUUGAACGCGUGAGCUUCGGGCAGCGCUGGGGCCGCUUCAGCGUGACCUCCAAGGCCACUGGCCUGGAGUUCCACUGGCUGCUGGUCCCCCAUCUGUGGGGCGCCCCGGCGGCUGAGGCGUGGACCAGGCAGUGCAUGUCGAGGAGUAGCACCCACAGCUGCGCGGCUGCGAAAUGAUCCAGAGACACAUCCCUGUCUGCGGGAGGAGCCGUCCAUACCAGCGGGGAUGUGUAGUCCAGGCUGGCAGUUCAGGAUCACCCGGCUGGAGUCAUUUUAAGAUCAUCUGCGGCUUAGCCCCAGCACCAUCUGAGGCAGUACUGUCUGCUAGAAAUAACUGUGAGCACACAGGGGUUAGCAGGACAUGAGGGAGUGUAGCUCUGAUGCGGUGACCUGGGCCGGAGCCCUCGGACUAGCCUCAGCUUUGGUGGCAGCACGCCCUGCCUUGUGGAGCCACGGCCUCCCGGGACGGACUCCCCGGCUCUCCCCCAGCCGCCCGCAGCCGCCGGAUGAUCCUCUGCUCCCGUCUCUGUCUCCCACAGUCGGCCUCGCUGAGGAUGGAGCCCGCCCCGGGCCUCGUGGAGCAGCCCAAGUGCUUGGAGGCCGGGAGCCCGGAGCCUGAGCCGGCGCCGUGGCAGGCCCUCCCUGUCCUGUCCGAGAAGCAGUCAGGGGACGUGGAGCUGGUGCUGGCCUACGCCGCGCCCGUCCUGGACAAGC
rnacentral:lncRNA from 10 species